CAGAGUAUUUCCCGUAGAAGCUCAAGAGAUUAGAAAGUACCCUAUUCUUAUGCAAACGUUCCCUUGGGACUGAAAAGACCUCUAUGCCUUCUCCCUUGUGCCCUGAUUUGUCGAAAUUGCUGCUCACCAAUGUUAGCCCAAGUAUAAUCUUUGAUGGUGCAAAGAAAUGAACUGUUCUUAAAAGCAGUAUAUUACUUGGACUGGUGACUCAGAGACUUCUCAUUAUUUGUGCAAAGUUUAUGUUAUGCAAACAUAUGUCUAUAAACACAGUUCACUGUCUUUAGAUGUCCA